UAUGAUACGAUGAAAGGGACGAGUAGAUAGCAUGGGGUUUUACAGAGAGUGGGGGAAGGUGAAAGCCCAUAAACUACCAGCUAUUGAAAAUCACCCUUGAGUAGCAGGCUGAAUUUUAGUAAGCUGUGCCGGCAUAGCCGUUAUUAUAAUUAAGAUAUAAAUUUGGGUGGUACCGCGAGCAGACUUCGCCCCAUGG
rnacentral:ncRNA from 1 species